GUUAGGAAUAUUGGACAAUGGGCGCAAGCCUGAUCCAGCCAUGCCGCGUGAGUGAUGAAGGCCUUCGGGUUGUAAAGCUCUUUAGCCGAUGAUUAUAAUGACUGUAGUCGGAAAAUAAGCCCCGGCUAACUUCGUGCCAGCAGCCGCGGUAAUGCGAAGGGGGCGAGCGUUAUUCGGAAUCACUGGGCGUAAAGCGUGCGUAGGCGGCUUUGCAAGUUGGGAGUGAAAGCCCAGGGCUCAACCCUGGAAUUGCUCUCAAAACUGCAAGGCUCGAAUUCGGGAGAGGAUAGCGGAAUUGUCAGUGUAGCAGUGAAAUGCGUAGAUAUUGACAGGAACACCAGUGGCGUAAGCGGCUAUCUGGACCGAUAUUGACGCUGAGGCACGAAAGCGUGGGGAUCAAACAGGAUUAGAAACCCGUGUAGUCC
rnacentral:rRNA from 1 species